CCCUUAGACGUUCUGGGCCGCACGCGCGCUACACUGACCAGUGCAACAAGCAUCCGUCCUUGGCCGACAGGCCCGGGCAAUCUUUGAACGCUGGUCGUGAUGGGGAUAGACUUUUGCAAUUUUUGGUCUUCAACGAGGAAUUCCUAGUAAACGCAAGUCAUCAACUCGCAUUGAUUACGUCCCUGCCCUUUGUACACACCGCCCGUCGCACCUACCGAUUGAAUGGUCCGGUGAAGCCUCCGGAUUGGCGCGCACCUCGGUGCCGCCGAGAAGUUGGCUAAACCUUACCAUUUAGAGGAAGGUGAANUCGUAACA
rnacentral:rRNA from 1 species